AUGUUACUUGGGGGGGACUUCAAUAUUCUGCGGUAUAGGCAGGAUAAAAACAAUGAUAGGUUCAACACUCGAUGGCCCUUUCUUUUUAAUGCGGUCAUUGACAGUCUUGAUCUGCGGGAACUCUCCCUCUCGGGGCGUCAAUUUACCUGGGCCAACAAUAGAUCUACCCCGACUUUCGAAAAACUCGAUCGGGUCCUAGUCACUACAGACUGGGAAUUUAAAUAUCCAUUAGCAUCAGUAAGAGCUUUGGAGAGAAUUGAGGCCUUAUCGGACCAUGCUCCUUUGCUCACUGAUUUUGGCCAACCUGCUACCACGUCGAGCCGCCAUCAGUUUAAAUUUGAACUGGGGUGGCUCACUAGAGAGGGCUUCCCGGAUUUGGUUAAAAAGGUGUGGUUACGCCCAACACGGGGCGAUACACCGAUUCAGUGUUGGAACAAUCGCAUUAGGGCGUUGCGCCAAUUCCUCCGUGGCUGGGCUAAACAUACCGCCGGGAUUUAUAAGAAAGAGAAGCUGCGACUAUCCGUCUUGAUAGACUCCUUAGAUAAAACCGUGGAGGUGAGGCCUUUAUCUGCGGACGAGAUUGAACAAAAAAGUCAUCUCAAUGAGCAGCUAGCCCGCCUCUUACGCGAAGAGGAGAUCAAAUGGUACCAACGGUGCAAGACUGACUCGUUGGUACUUGGGGAUGAUAACACGAAGUACUUCCAAAUGUUAGCCAAUGGUAGACAUAGAAAGAAACGAAUUUUCACCCUGGAU
rnacentral:rRNA from 1 species